CGCCAGCAGCCGCGGUAAUACGGAGGGUGCGAGCGUUGUCCGGAAUCACUGGGCGUAAAGGGCGCGUAGGCGGCGCGGUAAGCGUGCGGUGAAAGCCCGGGGCUCAACCCCGGGUCGGCCGUGCGGACUGCCGGGCUCGAGCACUGUAGAGGCAGGUGGAAUUCCGGGUGUAGCGGUGGAAUGCGUAGAGAUCCGGAAGAACACCGGUGGCGAAGGCGGCCUGCUGGGCAGUGGCUGACGCUGAGGCGCGACAGCGUGGGGAGCAAACAGGAUUAGAUACCCUGGUAGUCCACGCCGUAAACGAUGGGCACUAGGUGCUUCGGGGAGCGACCCUCGGGGUGCCGGCGCUAACGCAUUAAGUGCCCCGCCUGGGGAGUACGGCCGCAAGGCUGAAACUUAAAGGAAUUGACGGGGGCCCGCACA
rnacentral:rRNA from 1 species